rnacentral:rRNA from 1 species
UACGUAGGGGGCUAGCGUUGUCCGGAAUCAUUGGGCGUAAAGCGCGUGUAGGCGGUCCGGUAAGUCCGCUGUGAAAGUCGGGGGCUCAACCCUCGGAUGCCGGCGGAUACUGUCGGGCUUGAGUACGGAAGAGGCGAGUGGAAUUCUGGUGAUAGCGGUGAAAUGCGCAGAUAUCAGGAGGAACACCAAUAGCGAAGGCAGCUCGCUGGGACGUUACUGACACUGAGGCGCGAAAGCGUGGGGGAGCGAACAGG